rnacentral:rRNA from 1 species
AAGCGCACGCAGGCGGCCUUUUAAGUCUGAUGUGAAAGCCCACGGCUCAACCGUGGAGGUGCAUUGGAAACUGGAAGGCUUGAGGAUAUAAGAGGAAAGUGGAAUUCCACGUGUAGCGGUGAAAUGCGUAGAGAUGUGGAGGAACACCAGUGGCGAAGGCGACUUUCUAGUAUAUUACUGACGCUGANGCGCGAAGGCGUGGGGAGCAAACAGGAUUAGAUACCCUGGUAGUCCACGCUGUAAAC